rnacentral:rRNA from 1 species
AUUGAACGCUGGCGGCAGGCCUAACACAUGCAAGUCGAGCGGAUGAGUGGAGCUUGCUCCAUGAUUCAGCGGCGGACGGGUGAGUAAUGCCUAGGAAUCUGCCUGGUAGUGGGGGACAACGUUUCGAAAGGAACGCUAAUACCGCAUACGUCCUACGGGAGAAAGUGGGGGAUCUUCGGACCUCACGCUAUCAGAUGAGCCUAGGUCGGAUUAGCUAGUUGGUGAGGUAAAGGCUAACCAGGGCGACGAUCCGUAACUGGUCUGAGAGGAGGAUCAGGCACACUGGAACGGAGACACGGUCCAGACUCCUACGGGAGGCAGCAGUGGGGAAUAUUGGACAAUGGGCGAAAGCCUGAUCCAGCCAUGCCGCGUGUGUGAAGAAGGUCUUCGGAUUGUAAAGCACUUUAAGUUGGGAGGAAGGGCAGUAAGUUAAUACCUUGCUGUUUUGACGUUACAAACAGAAUAAGCACCGGCUAACUUCGUGCCAGCCGCCGCGGUAACAC